rnacentral:rRNA from 1 species
GACGAACGCUGGCGGCGUGCUUAACACAUGCAAGUCGAACGGAAAGGCCCUGCUUGCAGGGUACUCGAGUGGCGAACGGGUGAGUAACUCGUGGGUGAUCUGCCCUGCACUUCGGGAUAAGCCUGGGCAACUGGGUCUAAUACCGGAUAGGUGCCAUUUUUAGCGUGAUGGUUGGAAAGUUUUUUCGGUGUAGGAUGAGCUCGCGGCCUAUCAGCUUGCUGGUGGGGUAAUGGCCUACCAAGGCGGCGACGGGUAGCCGGCCUGAGAGGGUGGACGGCCACAUUGGGACUGAGAGACGGCCCAGACACCUACGGGAGGCAGCAGUGGGGAAGAUUGCACAAUGGGCGCAAGCCUGGUGCAGCGACGCCGCGUGGGGGAUGACGGCCUUCGUGUUGAAAACUCCUUUCGCUAGGGACGAAGCUUUUUGUGACGGUACCUAGAUAGGAAGCACCGGCUAACUACGUG